rnacentral:lncRNA from 1 species
CACCCAACGCAACACCCAACGCAACACCCAACGCAACACCCAACGCAACACCCAACGCAACACCCAAUGCAACACGCAACGCAACACGCAACACACAACGCGACACACAACGCGACACACAACGCGACACGCAACGCGACACGCAACGCAACACGCGACACACAACGCGACACACAACGCGACACACAACGCGACACACAACGCAUCACGCAACGCAUCACGCAACGCAUCACGCAACGCAACACACAACACACAACGCAACACACAACGCAACACACAACGCAACACGCAACGCAACACGCAUCACGCAACGCAACACCCAACGCAACACCCAACGCAACACCCAACGCAACACCCAACGCAACACACACACAACACCCAACGCAACACCCAACGCAACACGCAACGCAACACCCGCUCCUCCUCCCCCGGGUGGCACCACCGGGCUGGGAGUUCGCCUGUUGGCGGUGGUGGUGGUGGUGGUGUUGCUGUUUGGUUGUUGUUGGUUGGAGUGACAAUAAAGCAGCGUUAACGCGGCCCCACUCGCAACAGGCGGCGGCAACAACCGACCGACCACCAACCACCGCCAACCAUCGAACCGAACCGGAGUGCCAACCAACGGCACAACAGGCACACACACACACAACACACAACACACACACAACACCCGC